AUUGAACGCUGGCGGCAGGCCUAACACAUGCAAGUCGAGCGGAUGAAGGGAGCUUGCUCCUGGAUUCAGCGGCGGACGGGUGAGUAAUGCCUAGGAAUCUGCCUGGUAGUGGGGGAUAACGUCCGGAAACGGGCGCUAAUACCGCAUACGUCCUGAGGGAGAAAGUGGGGGAUCUUCGGACCUCACGCUAUCAGAUGAGCCUAGGUCGGAUUAGCUAGUUGGUGGGGUAAAGGCCUACCAAGGCGACGAUCCGUAACUGGUCUGAGAGGAUGAUCAGUCACACUGGAACUGAGACACGGUCCAGGCUACUACGGGAGGCAGCAGUGGGGAAUAUUGGACAGUGGGCGAAAGCCUGAUCCAGCCAUGCCGCGUGUGUGAAGAAGGUCUUCGGAUUGUAAAGCACUUUAAGUUGGGAGGAAGGGCAGUAAGUUAAUACCUUGCUGUUUUGACGUUACCAGCAGAAUAAGCACCGGCUAACUUCGUG
rnacentral:rRNA from 1 species